rnacentral:rRNA from 1 species
UACGUAGGGUGCGAGCGUUAAUCGGAAUUACUGGGCGUAAAGCGUGCGCAGGCGGUUAUGUAAGACAGGUGUGAAAUCCCCGGGCUUAACCUGGGAACUGCAUUUGUGACUGCAUAGCUAGAGUACGGUAGAGGGGGAUGGAAUUCCGCGUGUAGCAGUGAAAUGCGUAGAUAUCUGGAGGAACACCGGUGGCGAAGGCGGCAUCCUGGACCGGCAUUGACGCUGAGGAGCGAAAGCCAGGGGAGCAAAGCGGG